rnacentral:ncRNA from 1 species
GAUCUGGUUGAUUCUGCCAGUAGUCAUAUGCUUGUUUCAAGGACUUAGCCAUGCAUGCCUCAAAAUCACUGCAUUGGAGGAAUCUGGGCAUGGNUCCAUUACAUCAAACGUAAUCUGCCG